GAUGAAGAACGUAGCGAAAUGCGAUAAGUAGUGUGAAUUGCAGAAUUUAGUGAAUCAUCGAAUCUUUGAACGCACAUUGCGCCCUUUGGUAUUCCUUAGGGCAUGCCUGUUCGAGCGUCAUCUACACCCUCAAGCACAGCUUGGUGAUGGGCGCCUGUCCCGCCCCCCACGGGGGCGCGGACUCGCCUCAAAUGCAUUGGCGGCCGGCGACCUGGCUUCGAGCGCAGCAGAAACGCGUACUCGGGGACCGGGCGCCCGCUCCCAGAAGCCAACCCACCCAGUUUGACCUCGGAUCAGGUAGGGAUACCCGCUGAACUUAAGCAUAUCAUAAGCGGAGGA
rnacentral:misc_RNA from 1 species